rnacentral:rRNA from 1 species
UACGUAGGUGGCAAGCGUUGUCCGGAUUUACUGGGCGUAAAGGGCGUGCAGGCGGUUUGUUAAGUGCAGGGUGAAAGCUCCCGGCUCAACUGGGAGAGGUCCUUGCAUACUGGCAGACUUGAGGGAGGCAGAGGAAAGUGGAAUUCCCGGUGUAGUGGUGAUAUGCGUAGAUAUCGGGAGGAACACCGGUGGCGAAGGCGGUUCUCUGGGCAUGAUCUGACGCUGAGGAGCGAAAGUGUGGGGAGCGAACAGG